GUGCUAGAUGGGGAACUAGCGGUGCCCUGUAUCUGCAAUCCGCUACAGCAGAGUCGAAGGCUCCCUUAGGUUAUUUUUCUGAAGGUCUGAGGUAAAUUGGAUUCGUUGAGAGUUAAGCUCCAUGCAUUAAAAGCCUACAAACCCCGCCAGGAUCGGAAGAUAGCAACGGUAAGUAGUAUCUUUUAAGUGAUAUGGAAUCACUUAAUUUGAGUUGAAGAUUUAUUCUUCCGCUUUGGGAAAAUUUAUCGACGGGAGAUGCA
rnacentral:SRP_RNA from 1 species